AGACCCGAAACCCGGUGAUCUAGCCAUGGGCAGGUUGAAGGUUGGGUAACACUAACUGGAGGACCGAACCGACUAAUGUUGAAAAAUUAGCGGAUGACCUGUGGCUGGGGGUGAAAGGCCAAUCAAACCGGGAGAUAGCUGGUUCUCCCCGAAAGCUAUUUAGGUAGCGCCUCGUGAAUUCAUCUCCGGGGGUAGAGCACUGUUUCGGCUAGGGGGCCAUCCCGGCUUACCAACCCGAUGCAAACUGCGAAUACCGGAGAAUGUUAUCACGGGAGACACACGGCGGGUGCUAACGUCCGUCGUGAAGAGGGAAACAACCCAGACCGCCAGCUAAGGUCCCAAAGUCAUGGUUAAGUGGGAAACGAUGUGGGAAGGCCCAGACAGCCAGGAUGUUGGCUUAGAAGCAGCCAUCAUUUAAAGAAAGCGUAAUAGCUCACUGGUCGAGUCGGCCUGCGCGGAAGAUGUAACGGGGCUAAACCAUGCACCGAAGCUGCGGCAGCGACGUUUAUGCGUUGUUGGGUAGGGGAGCGUUCUGUAAGCCUG
rnacentral:rRNA from 2 species